GUCGCCGGAGCCAGACGCCGGCCGAGCCCAGCCCCACCUCUCCUCUGUUCUUCGUCGGGCGCGAGGAAGAAGCCAGGCAAGCAGAGAGAGAGGAGGAGAUGGAUAAGGUGGACCCCACCUGGCAGCCACUCAGGCGCUGACCCGCCCGAUCCAUCUGGAUAAGUGACGGGCCCCGCAGCCCGUGGGACCCGCACAUCAGCGACCCGCGUGCCUGGCCCCGCCCCUGCUGACUGGAUUAAGUGGAGGCGUACUCGGUCGAGGACUUGUUUGUGAUGAUAUUUUUGCAGAAAAGUCCCUAAACUUCAACCCUUCAUAUCUUUUUAACCACAACUCCAAAUGAGGUGAUUGCAAAGCCCAUUUCUUCAUCUCGUCGAGCCCGUUCUGUUGGUUUCAUUUUCACUAUGGUUUAA